rnacentral:rRNA from 1 species
UACGGGGGGAGCAAGCGUUGUUCGGAUUUACUGGGCGUAAAGGGCGCGUAGGCGGCCACCGCAAGUCGACUGUGAAAUCUCCGGGCUUAACCCGGAAAGGUCAGCCGAUACUGCGGGGCUAGAGUGCAGAAGGGGCAACUGGAAUUCUCGGUGUAGCGGUGAAAUGCGUAGAUAUCGAGAGGAACACCUGCGGCGAAGGCGGGUUGCUGGGCCGAUACUGACGCUGAGGAGCGAAAGCGUGGGGAGCGAACAGG